rnacentral:tRNA from 3 species
GCGGAUGUGGCGGAAUUGGUAUACGCGCACGCUUGAGGUGCGUGUGGCUAUUGCCGUGCGAGUUCAAGUCUCGCCAUCCGCA